GACGAACGCUGGCGGCGUGCUUAACACAUGCAAGUCGAACGGUGAAGCGCCUUCCUUUUUGGUGGGUGUGGAUGAGUGGCGAACGGGUGAGUAACACGUGAGUAACCUGCCCCCUUCUUCUGGAUAACCGCAUGAAAGUGUGGCUAAUACGGGAUAUUCUGGGUCUGUCGCAUGAUGGGUCUGGGAAAGAUAUUGGUUCGGUGGGGGAUGGGCUCGCGGCCUAUCAGCUUGUUGGUGGGGUGAUGGCCUACCAAGGCGGUGACGGGUAGCCGGCCUGAGAGGGUGGACGGUCUCACUGGGACUGAGGCCCGGCCCGGACUCCUACGGGAGGCAGCAGUGGGCAGUAUUGCACAAUGGGGGCAAGCCUGAUGCAGCGACGCCGCGUGAGGGAUGGAGGCCUUCGGGUUGUGAACCUCUUUCGCCAGUGAAGCAGGCCUGCCUCGUUUGUGGGUGGGUUGACGGUAGCUGGAUAAGAAGCGCCGGCUAACUACGUG
rnacentral:rRNA from 1 species